UUUUAAAUUGUGUUCUCCACCCUACCAAUCAAGAGCAAAGCCACCGUGCUCCCGAGCUACUCCGAGCUCCCCCUGCUGCGUUUUUAUUUACUAAUUAGAUGUAACUACUUAAGAAUAGGAAUUAUUUUGUUUUUCAUUUCAAAAAUCAUAUAUCUGUUAUUUGUGAGCUUCCUAAUUAUGCCAACCUUAUCAUUAUUAAGAUAUAUCAUUGUUUUAUUUUAAAAGCCCGUGAAACAUCCCAAUAAUACAGAAAUUAAAGGACAGAGUGCCCUGACUUUUGGUGGGAAUUUAGGAUAAAUAAAAUUUAAGAUGGUU